ACGAGUAUGGUGUAAAUGGUUAACAUGUCCACAACUUCUCUUGUAGAAACGCGGAAGCUCGGGGUUCAAUUCCCUGUGCUCGAA